UGGGGAAUAUUGGACAAUGGGCGAAAGCCUGAUCCAGCCAUGCCGCGUGUGUGAAGAAGGUCUUCGGAUUGUAAAGCACUUUAAGUUGGGAGGAAGGGCAGUAAGCGAAUACCUUGCUGUUUUGACGUUACCGACAGAAUAAGCACCGGCUAACUCUGUGCCAGCAGCCGCGGUAAUACAGAGGGUGCAAGCGUUAAUCGGAAUUACUGGGCGUAAAGCGCGCGUAGGUGGUUCGUUAAGUUGAAUGUGAAAGCCCCGGGCUCAACCUUGGAACUGCCACCAAAACCGGCGGGCUAGAGUAAGGCAGAGGGUGGUGGAAUUUCCUGUGUAGCGGUGAAAUGCGUAGAUAUAGGAAGGAACACCAGUGGCGAAGGCGACCACCUGGGCUCAUACUGACACUGAGGUGCGAAAGCGUGGGGAGCAAACAGG
rnacentral:rRNA from 1 species